rnacentral:tRNA from 1 species
UUCCUGGUGGCUUAGAGGGUAAACCAUCUGCUUGCAAUGCAGGAGACCUGGGUUCGAUCCCUGGGUAGGAAA